UGCAAGUCGAACGGCAGCACGGGAGCAAUCCUGGUGGCGAGUGGCGAACGGGUGAGUAAUAUAUCGGAACGUGCCAGUCGUGGGGGAUAACGUAGCGAAAGCUACGCUAAUACCGCAUACGAUCUACGGAUGAAAGCGGGGAUCGCAAGACCUCGCGCGAUUGGAGCGGCCGAUAUCAGAUUAGGUAGUUGGUAGAGGUAAAGGCUCACCAAGCCGACGAUCUGUAGCUGGUCUGAGAGGACGACCAGCCACACUGGGACUGAGACACGGCCCAGACUCCUACGGGAGGCAGCAGUGGGGAAUUUUGGACAAUGGGCGCAAGCCUGAUCCAGCAAUGCCGCGUGCAGGAUGAAGGCCUUCGGGUUGUAAACUGCUUUUGUACGGAACGAAACGGUGAGCUCUAAUACAGUUUGCUAAUGACGGUACCGUAAGAAUAAGCACCGGCUAACUACGUG
rnacentral:rRNA from 1 species